GGAAAUGAACUAAAUGGAUCAGCUCAAUGUGCUCUGACCCGUUCCGUAAUAUGCAGGCAUUUGGCAUUAGCGGGUGCACACCUUGAUCUUAUAUAGGAUGACGGGUAAGCAAUUGAUGUGGAUCCACCAAAUUUUCUCUACGGCAGUUUGGCAUAAACAGAAGUAUGCUUUAGAAUGAUGGAUCUUGAGAGGAUAGAUCAGAAGAAUGACUGGAUGGUGAGAAUUCUGCCAGGCAUGCUGUUUUAAUGGAAGAUUUUUUUAAAAAAAUGCUUAAUGACUGAGGGGACAGAGCAAAAUGGUGGAACAGAAAGCUCCGCUAAUCAUACCCCCGUAAUGACAACAAUUUAACGGCUAUCUACACACGAGAAAGCACCUUCAUAAGAACCAAAAAUCAGGUGAGCACUCAUAAUACCUGGUUUUCCCUUUAUACUGAUGAAAGACUCACUAAAGAGGCAGGAAAAACAGCCUUGAAUCACCAACGGCUUUCCUCCCCCAACUCCUGGUAGUGACAGUAUGGUGCAGAGACAUUUCUGUUUGCUAUGGAGAGGGAGAACACAGCAAUUGUGAGACAUUGAACUCAGUACUGCUCUAUGAUAGUAGAAAGAAAUACUGAACCAAAUUCUACUCAUGCCCACACAGAGAGGGAGUAUUUAAACCAGCCUUAGCCAGAGGGGAAUCACUGACCCCAGUGGUCAGAA
rnacentral:lncRNA from 1 species